GUCAAGGUGCCAGAGUGGUUAAUGGGCUGCCCUGCUAUCAACAUAGAUAUCGGAUUAGGCAGUGGCUUCGGUCGCGCAGGUUCGAAUCCUGUCCUUGACG
rnacentral:tRNA from 1 species